AGAACAAGAGCACAGCCCACAGGCCAAGCCCACACACCACACCUCGGAUCCCAGAUUCACAGCCUCGGAACCGUGCGCAACAGGGACGUGAGCUGCCCGCAGGCAGAGGCUGCUGGGAGACUGCUCUGAACCUGCAGGCAGGGCCGGGCGGCACCAGCGAGCACGUCUGACUCAGCCCCGGCUUCACAUCUGGUCCUAGCAUGUCCCCCGCUGCACCUGCCCAGGGUCCUGCUCGGAGGAAUAAACGACGGCCCCAACUCCGCUGGCUGCCACGACGACCCCACGCUGCGGCCUCCCAGACGGUGGCCCGCAGCCCACCCUGGCCAGUCGUCAGCGGAGUCCGACCCCUGCACUAAUGCGGGGGCUGCAGUGUCCGGCCUGCACCCCGCCCCCAUCCUGGAAUGGAAAUGAGAUCUCAUCGCCCUGAGGACGGAGCCAGGAGCUUCCCUCAGGCCUCUCCUUGUCCCUUCAGCGCCCGCCCGAGACUCCUCGAGGGAGCCGCGGUCCCACAGGGCAGCUGAUAGCCGUGCGCUAUGUAAACGCCAACAAGUUAAAUCCAAUAAAAGCAGAACUUCUGCUGCUCGGUCACACCGCUGAGCAGCCAAUCGA